rnacentral:rRNA from 1 species
GAUGAACGCUGGCGGCGUGCUUAACACAUGCAAGUCGAACGGACAGGCCCUGCUUUUGUGGGGCGCUCGAGUGGCGAACGCGUGAGUCACACGCGAGUAACCUGCCCUUGACUGUGGGAUAACUUCAGGUAACUGGGGCUCAUACCGGAUAGGAGCUCCUGCUGCAUGGUGGUGGUUGGAAAGUUUCGGCGGUUGGGGAUGGUCUCGCGGCUUAUCAGCUUGUUGGUGGAGUAGUGGCUUACCAAGGCUUUGACGGGUAGCCGGCCUGAGAGGGUGACCGGCCACAUUGGGACUGAGAUACGGCCCAGACUCCUACGGGAGGCAGCAGUGGGGAAGAUUGCACAAUGGGGGGAAGCCUGAUGCAGCAACGCCGCGUGCGGGAUGAUGGCCUUCUGGUGAAAAACCGCUUUCGCCGGUGACGAAGCGUGAGUGACGGUAAUGGGUAAAGAAGCACCGGCUAACUACGUG